rnacentral:rRNA from 1 species
GUAGGUGGCAAGCGUUGUCCGGAAUUAUUGGGCGUAAGGCGCGCGCAGGCGGUUCUUUAAGUCUGAUGUGAAAGCCCACGGCUCAACCGUGGAGGGUCAUUGGAAACUGGAGAACUUGAGUACAGAAGAGGAAAGCGGAAUUCCACGUGUAGCGGUGAAAUGCGUAGAGAUGUGGAGGAACACCAGUGGCGAAGGCGGCUUUCUGGUCUGUAACUGACGCUGAGGCGCGAAAGCGUGGGGAGCAAACAGGAUUAGAUACCCUGGUAGUCCACGCCGUAAACGAUGAGUGCUAAGUGUUAGGGGGUUUUCCGCCCCCCUUAGUGCUGCAGCUAACGCAUUAAGCACUCCGCCUGGGAGUACGGCCGCAAGGCUG